rnacentral:rRNA from 1 species
AGCUCCAAUAGCGUAUAUUAAAAUUGUUGCAGUUAAAAAGCUCGUAGUUGGAUGUGGGGUUAGGGCUUGCGGUUCACCCCGCGGUGUUACUGCUUGUCCCGACCUACCUUGAAUUAACACGCGUUGCUCUUAAUUGAGUGACCGGGAAGGUUUGAACGUUUACUUUGAAAAAAUUAGAGUGUUUAUAGCAGGCAUUUGCCUGAAUAAUGGUGCAUGGAAUAAUGGAAUAGGACCUCGGUUCUAUUUUGUUGGUUUUUCGGAAUUGAGGUAAUGAUUAAUAGGGACUGACGGGGGCAUUCGUAUUACGGUGGGAGAGGUGAAAUUCUGUGAUCAUCGUAAGACGAACUAUCGCGAAAGCAUUUGCCAAGAAUGUUUUCAUUA